rnacentral:tRNA from 2 species
GUUAAGAUGGCAGAACCUGGCAGUUUCAUAAAACUUAAAGUUUAUAAUCAGAGGUUCAACUCCUCUUCUUAACA